rnacentral:rRNA from 1 species
GAUGAACGCUGGCGGCGUGCCUAAUACAUGCAAGUCGAGCGAACGGACGAGAAGCUUGCUUCUCUGAUGUUAGCGGCGGACGGGUGAGUAACACGUGGAUAACCUACCUAUCAGACUGGGAUAACUUCGGGAAACCGGAGCUAAUACCGUAUGAUAUUUUGAACCGCAUGGUUCAAAAGUGAAAGACGGUCUUGCUGUCACUUCUAGAUGGAUCCGCGCUGCAUUAGCUAGUUGGUAAGGUAACGGCUUACCAAGGCAACGAUGCAUAGCCGACCUGAGAGGGUGAUAGGCCACACUGGAACUGAGACACGGUCCAGACUCCUACGGGAGGCAGCAGUAGGGAAUCGUACGCAAUGGGCGAAAGCCUGACGGAGCAACGCCGCGUGAGUGAUGAAGGUCUUCGGAUCGUAAAAAUCUGUUAUGAGGGAAGAACAUAUGUGGAAGUAACUGUGCACAUCUUGACGGUACCUAAUCAGAAAGCCACGGCUAACUACGUG